AGAUAUUUCCGUCAACGAAACAUCAGACUACUAUUAUCAUGGGCAAGGAGAGGAACAACGUCAACAUGGCCGUCGUCGGCUACUACUAGACUCUCACAUCAGAUGAUGGUGGGCUAGUACAACACGGACACGUCUCAGCUUCUGUACACGGACACGACUUGGACACGGACAACACGAUGCUACGAGAAUAACCCCCGGACUACCCUACAACUGAUUGGCUUUUAUACUACAAACUUUGUGUUUGGCAGUAAUAAACUAAAUUUUACAGAAA